GAUGAACGCUGGCGGCGUGCUUAAUACAUGCAAGUCGAACGGACAGGCCAUGCGCUUGUUGGGUGCUCGAGAGGCGAACGGGGGUGUAUCACGUGAGUAAACUGCCCUUGACUUAGGGAUAACACCUGGAAACACGGGCGAUAACCGGGUAGGAUCUCUUGAUGCAUGGGGGGGGUUGGAAAGAUUCGGCGGUUGGGGAUGUACUCGAGGCUUAUGCGCUUGUUGGUGGGGUAGGUGCUGACCAAGGCUUUGACGGGUAGCCGGCCUGAGAGGGUGACCGGCCACAUUGGUACUGCGAUACGGCGCAGACUCCUACGGGACGCAGCAGUGGGGAGUAUUGCGCAAUGGGCGGAAGCCUGAUGUAGCAACGCCGCGUGCGGGAUGCCGGCCUUCGGGUUGUAAACCGCUUUGGCCUGUGACGAGGCGUGAGUGACGGUACUGGGUAAAGAAGCACCGGCUAACUACGUG
rnacentral:rRNA from 1 species